UAUAUUUAGCAACACAACACCCUUUAUUAUUUCAAAUUCCAACAUCAGGUAGCUUGAUGUCCAUGGACAAAUCCACCAUGGCGCUUAGUCAGCAUUUCUCUUUCCUCUCUCAUGCCAUAUGUAACGACACCAUCCUUCAACUUUACCAGUUAUAACACUGUUGUCCUUCAACUUUGUCAUUUGUAACAAAUUUAUCCUUCAACUCUG
rnacentral:misc_RNA from 1 species